rnacentral:tRNA from 1 species
UGCUCGGUAGCUCAACGGUGGAGCAUCCGGCUGUUAACCGGAGGGUUGUAGGUUCGAAUCCUACCCGGGGAGCAA